rnacentral:tRNA from 1 species
GCUGCGAGUAGGUGGAGGCGAGGUCGUCCUCGCUCUCCGCGAGGUGGAAGACGGUGGGCGCGUCCAGCACCCGGCUCAGCUCCGCGAUGCGGCGC